rnacentral:rRNA from 1 species
GGCCAGACUCCUACGGGAGGCAGCAGUGGGGAAUAUUGGGCAAUGGGCGCAAGCCUGACCCAGCAAUGCCGCGUGAAGGAAGAAGGCUUUCGGGUUGUAAACUUCUUUGACAGGGGAAGAGCAGAAGACGGUACCCUGAAAACAAGCCACGGCUAACUACGUGCCAGCAGCCGCGGUAAUACGUAGGGGGCAAGCGUUAUCCGGAUUUACUGGGUGUAAAGGGAGCGUAGACGGCGAAGAAAGUCUGAAGUGAAAGCCCGCGGCUCAACCGCGGAAUGGCUUUGGAAACUUUUUUGCUGGAGUACCGGAGAGGUAAGCGGAAUUCCUAGUGUAGCGGUGAAAUGCGUAGAUAUUAGGAGGAACACCAGUGGCGAAGGCGGCUUACUGGACGGUAACUGACGUUGAGACUCGAAAGCGUGGGGAGCAAACAGGAUUAGAUACCCCUGUAGG